rnacentral:lncRNA from 1 species
UCUGAAGCUUUCUCCUGAAACCUCAGUAGAUACCAUAGUAUGCCUGAGUCUUCUAGCAGUUAAUGUGGAGAAACCCAACAUACAAAUAUAAGAGCAAAAUAAAAAAAUAGAUGAUGGGAAACAAGGAGUAUUACAGCGUAUCAAGCAAGUUUGACUCAUCUAGAAGAAGAAUAAAGAUCAACCAAUGAUGGAUAAAAUGAGAUGAAAAGCAACCCUAACAAAAGAAACUGAUUGAAGAGAUUGAGAGGAAAAG